rnacentral:rRNA from 1 species
AACGAACGCUGGCGGCAGGCCUAACACAUGCAAGUCGAGCGAGGACUUCGGUCCUAGCGGCGGACGGGGGAGUAACGCGUGGGAACGUGCCCGUUGCUUCGGAAUAGCCCUGGGAAACUGGGAGUAAUACCGGAGGAGCCCUUGGGGGGAAAGAUUUAUCGGCGAAGGAUCGGCCCGCGUUGGAUUAGGUAGUUGGUGGGGUAAUGGCCUACCAAGCCGACGAUCCAUAGCUGGUUUGAGAGGAUGAUCAGCCACACUGGGACUGAGACACGGCCCAGACUCCUACGGGAGGCAGCAGUGGGGAAUCUUAGACAAUGGGGGAAACCCUGAUCUCGCCAUGCCGCGUGAGCGAUGCAGGCCUUAGGGUUGUAAAGCUCUUUCAGCUGGGAAGAUAAUGACGGUACCAGCAGAAGAAGCCCCGGCUAACUCCGUG